rnacentral:lncRNA from 1 species
UUUUAAGUUAGAUAACUGAUUUUGACGUUUGAGUGUUUUUUAAUUCGACUACGUUCGAAUUAGCGGAUAUUCUGUAUUGAAAAGUUGUGAGUAAUUUUUGAUGUGCGUGUAAGGUUGCCAUAAUAUUGAGACAAUUACUCGAUAAAGUCAAUUCUUUGGUCAGAUUUAACGGAUGUCCAAUGCAUUUUGACAGUUAACGGUGACAUGUCAAAAAGUUCAUAACAUCAAAACAAAAUAUGUCUUCUUAGUUGAAUUACUCUUCAACUUCCGCCGCGUCUUGAACUUAUCGCGCCACCAAUGUUUGGCACGAAGAAAAAAAAAUAGACACUUGCUCACAUGUUCCGCUGACAACGCACGACUCGACGUCAAUGGCCACCGCAACCCCUUGCGGAGUUGUUUAUUUCUCUCUCUUUUUUUGCAUUUUAUACGGGGUGGUCUCAUGUUUAUAUACGCCGAGCGCCCGCGAAAACGAAGGGGGCUCGACUACCGACCGUGACUUGACACAAGUGUGCCAUAAUGGCGACUUUGAGGUUAGGGUAAAGUCGCGCGCUCCGUUGACAGUUAGAUAAACCGAUCAAGGUCAGCCGGUCCUUGGCGUUCUAACGCGGGGUAGUUCGCAGUACUAGGGCUAGCUUGUUUGCUGCAAAUAGUUGCACUAGAAGUGCGAAGAGAAAGCAAAACAGGUCGUCCUCGAGAUUUGCGGUCGCUAACGUUUUUUUUUAUCUCCCGUUUUUUUCUCGAAGAUGAUGAUGCCAUACUGUUUGUUAGAGAAGGGGGUUGUUUACUUUCGCUGUGUUUGCAAAUCGCAGCAAGCGCAAACCGGUUGAGCCGAGCGCGCACUAAGAAAGAGCUCGAUAAAUAAGCUAAUAACUCAUUCUUUCGAAGGUUUUGCCUCCCCCUUGAAUGAUACAAAACAAACGGCAAACGCUUCCGCGCGGGGGCUUAACAAAGUGCGAUUGUUGUUGUUGUUUUUGAUUUGCUGUCAGAAAACCACGUGGUUCUCGUCAAGACUGCGGCGCGGGGUAACAAAGACCGACCGUGCCAUUAAGUGGUGGGAUUUUUGUGCGAAUUCAUGGUCGGAAUAGUUGGGAAAACUGCUUCCUGUUUUGGAUUAAUGCUUGAAGAAAUUUGCCUUAUUUGAGCAACAUUUCUUAGGCGUGCACCUUUGACAGGUAGCUGGAUGACAUGCUACGACUGUCAAAAUUUAACACGCAUAUUGUAACUUAGUGAUUUCUUGCACUCAAACUCAAACAAGCUUCGCCGAUGAAAAAAAAAAACUAGCAAAUACAAUGUUUCUUUUUAUAGCAAGCUCUUAUCAUCACGCCACUCAGCGAUGUAAACAAUUUCAAUUGCUUGAGAAGCGUUUCUUAUCGCGCCGAACGUGCGUGUACGUUCCCACCACAGACGCGGUCGGCGAGCCUCCCAUUGAAACUUCCGCCCGUAACCUCACUCGUGUCCGCGCUUGACCCCAUCCAUUCUAAGCUUCCAAAACCGCUCGCGGCCAAGGUCGUUUCUAUCAAGUCUAUUUUUAUUGCCAUCGUUUGCGUCUUUUUUUAUAGCGCUUUUGUUUACUAUUUGGAUUCGCAGUUAUGACUUCUAAAUAAGUUCUGCGCAGUUAAAAAUGUAAGCCGAAUUUGACAGAUUUGCCAUAAUGGCGACUUUUGUGACAGAUACACGUUUAACCUGUCCUAGCUCAAAUAGUUCUGACAAUCGCAUCGAAAAUCAAUCCUCUUUUGAUGAGUUUACCACGUGCAAGCGCGCCCCAGUAGGCGUUGGAAAGCGAUGAUGACGCAUGCGGGCGUUGUUUGUUGUUUACAAGUCUGCGCUCAUUUUCGCGGAAUGCCUCUUUAUCGCGUGUGUGUGCAGUAAUCCGAUGCCAUCCGUUUGCGUCGUCGUCGUCGUCGUGAUGGGAACGCGCGGAUUUUCCGACAGACGCGCAGAAUGCGCAGCGCCAUUUGUUUUGCUGCAUUGUUGUUGUUGUUUGCUUAGAACCUGUGGCGUGACAUAUCGGCUUGCUGCGCUGCGCGUUUUGUUGUGAAAUUCGCAGCGUGACCCACAUUUGGCGUAUUGAUGGAAGGGUUGCAAUUACGAAAUUGUAAACAAAUGUUUGCGUAAUCGUGUUUUUGAUCAUGCAAAAAUCUGGAAUCUUCUAUUGACUUUUGCAAGCAGUGACAUAACCUUGUUGACAUAAAUUAAAUUUUCAAUCUUUGUGUAGGGUCAAAAUAUGAAUAUAAAUGAAAAUAUAAAGCAAAAAUGGCUAAUUCCUUAUUAACAGUGUAGCAAAGACGUAGCAAAAUAGUUUUAUGUCAAAAAAGCAUGGAAGAAAAUCCUACUUUUACUUUUGGGUUUAUUGAGUUGGAUGUUCUAGAAGAGAAACUUCCCUUGUUUAUAUGGUUUGAUGUUUGUUGAGGAUGACUUAUUUAACAGCUUGUCAGUUGACAGAUUGACUGGUUGACAGAUGAAAAAUUGACAGUUUGACAGUUUGGUUGAAAAUUGACAAAUCAACAGAAAACACCAGAAUCUUUAUUAACACAAGUUUUAAUCCACUCAAAAUGACCUCUUCGACACCAAGAAGCCCCACCGAGCUGUCAGCUUUGUGGUGGUGGUGACAAUCGUCUGACAGCUUUACGUAACGUCAGCGGAUAACACACAAAGCAAAAGCUCACGCGAUUCUACAAGACCGCGGGGGAUGAUUCACCACCAAGUCAAGUAGAUCGCACUAAUGACGAGCGUCCGUCCGUCCUGAAAACGUGCUACUUUGAUAGAGUGAGACAG